AAUUGGAAUGAGCGCAGUCUAAACCCUUGGGCGAGGACCCAUUGGAGGGCAAGUCUGGUGCCAGCAGCCGCGGUAAUUCCAGCUCCAAUAGCGUAUAUUAAAGUUGUUGCAGUUAAAAAGCUCGUAGUUGGAUCUCGGGCGCAGGCGGGCGGUCCGGCUCGCGCCGGUUCGCCGCCCGUUCCCCUGCCCCACCCCUGCCGGCUCCCUCCCGGCGGUGCUCUUUACUGAGCGUCCCGGGCGGCCGGCGCGUUUACUUUGAAAAAAUUAGAGUGUUCAAGGCGGGCCCGCCGAGCCCGAAUAACUGCGCAUGGAAUAAUGGAAUAGGACCUCGGUUCUAUUUUGCUGGUUUUCGGAAUCCGAGGUAAUGAUUGACGGGGACAAACGGGGGCAUUCGUAUUGCGGCGUUAGAGGUGAAAUUCUUGGAUCGCCGCAAGACGGGCUACUGCGAAA
rnacentral:rRNA from 1 species